AUUGAACGCUGGCGGCAGGCUUAACACAUGCAAGUCGAACGAGUGGCGGACGGGUGAGUAAUGCUUGGGAAUCUAGCUUAUGGAGGGGGAUAACUACGGGAAACUGUAGCUAAUACCGCGUACCAUAGGAUGAGCCCAAGUGGGAUUAGGUAGUUGGUGAGGUAAAGGCUCACCAAGCCGACGAUGUCUAGCUGGUCUGAGAGGAUGACCAGCCACACUGGGACUGAGACACGGACCAGAAUCCUACGGGAGGCAGCAGGGGGGAAUAUUGCGGAAUGGGGGCAACCUGACGCAGCAAUGCCGCGGGAAUGAAGAAGGCCUUCGGGUUGUAAAGUGCUUUCGGUAGCGAGGAGUUAACCACACAAGAAGAACCUGCGAACUCCGUGCCAGACGCCGCGGUAAUAC
rnacentral:rRNA from 1 species